ACCAGUGUACUUGGGAAGAGGUUUGGGAUUGUACUUUUCGGAGUAUAGGGGGAAUCCAUGGGGACCCAUUGGUUCUUCUGGUGUGGUUGCCCUCUUCUUGCUCUUCUCCCUAUCAGACCAAGCAGACCAGUUCUCUUCAGUGGAUACACAGUUGGCUGAGCCCUGUGGUUUUGUUUCAGCAAUUGGUGUCACAGUGGGGUUUGGCUUCUUUGUGAAUGUUGUCCCCCUGGAUGAUGAUGGAUAUCCAUGCUGAACAAAGCACUUCUCAUCACUGUGCCCAAAGGCUGCACAGUGAAAGCAAUAGUACCUUGUAUUCACUUGUUUUCCACUUUUGUAAUAUAAAGGUUCUGUUGGAGUAGGUGGUCUCUUCCUUGGGUUUUGAGAUGCAGGAGCCUGUUUAGGUGUGUGAGAUGAUGUAGCAUUGUUGUUGGUGAAUUGCCUGUUUUGACUUUGGUUUCUGGCUGAGUAGAAAGCAGAUGCUUGGUGAUUGUUAUUGUGCUCAGAGAGUUGCAGCUGUGACUCUUCAUGUAUCACCAUGGAGUAGACUCUACCAAAAUUAGGCAGCUUUUCCAGUGAUAGAAUGUGAGAUCUGACUUGCCUGAAGUCAUCCCUCAGUCCCAUGAGGAACUUCCUGAUUUUGAGCCUAUCCUCCUUGUCAUUGACCCUGCCAGUCAUGUUACAUUCACAUUUUCCACAGCUGCAUUGGGGUGUCUCCCCAUAUGCAUCAACUUUCCUCCAGAUGGACUUGAGGUUUGUACAAAAUUUUGACACACUGUCACUUCCUUGUUGCAUCAGGGUAGCAUCUUGGGACAGUUGGUAUAUGUGCGUUUCGUUGGACUGCCUGAAUUGAUCUUUGAGAUCAUUCCAGACUAUGGAUGCAUCAUCUGUAUACAUUAUUUGAGCUGCUAUGUCCUUGGAGACUGAGCUCCAGAUCCAUUGCCUGACCACCCCAUGACAGGUGAUCCAGGCUUCAAGUUCCUCUGCCUCAGAGUCAGCAGGUCUCCUCAUGGUACCAAGAACAAAUCCCAACUUCCUUCUUGUCAACAAUAUGGUUGUCACCUCUCUACUCCAUGGGUAGUAGUUCUGACUCCCUUGCAGGACAUUGAUCACUGACAAGGGGCCUGGAUCAGAGGAUUUGAUGUAGUAGGGAGAUGUUGGGUCAAAGAGAGGACCUCCUCUUGGUCUUUUUUCAACAGCACCAGACAUUUUUUGGAUCUGUUGAAAUUGUAGAAGUAUGUCAAUAAGAUAUGUGGAUGUAUUUUACACUGAUAACAAAUGAAGAUCAUAUUUGAGUUUGAAUUGAAUCGUAAUAUAAAUUUGAAAUCGUUUAGAUCAUUGGUGACUAGCAUUUGUAUAUGAUUCAUUUCUGAUUUUUUUUUGAGAGUUAAGAUAGUAGUCAAUCCUUCAUCAGUGAAGGGAUUAUUUGAUACCAGAUUAUUUGAUUUAUGCGGAAGCGUUUUAGUUGGUGUUUCCACCUUUUGAAUUGAAUUUGGAAUCCCUUCAAUAACACUUAGUGUCUCAGGAUUUGAAAUAUCAGGGAGCCCUGGUCGUUGCCUCUGGACUCUUAUGUUUAGGAUCUGACUGGUCAGAUUCAAGAUACAUUUGAUGUGUGAUCCAAGUGCACAUGUGUACACAAGGGCCUCACCAAGAUAUGAGUACAUCAUUAUUGCUAACAUGACAGGAAAGAAUGUAGUAUAUUCAUGAAUAAUUACAUAGACAUAACAUAAAUAGUGUGUAUAGAGUCUAUAAGUGAUUAUGCACCAGAGGGCAUUUGAUGUUGCCAUCCUGCAUUUUGUCCUAGCAUAUAUGAAAGGAAGUAGUAUAUGAAGUAUAACAUGAAGUGUAUGUGCAAGUGAAUGUUUCUGAAAUGUAUCAUGUGACUGAUCCAGGGCAUACAGGUUUGCAUCACCAGCAUAACGCAUUAUGUAAGCAGAAAUACAUGUGCAUGUAAGUAUCCAUUGACAGAAACAUUUAUAGACAGCAGAUACAAGCAUGCAUGUAGGGUGUGUAGCAUGAGGUGUGUUUAAGGUGUCUUUUGCACAGCAUAUGCACACGAGCAGCAUGUGUAUGAGAUAUAAUAUGAUGCAUACAUGAAUACACAGUAGAUCAUGAAACAGAGAUGAAUCAUUUUGCCUUAGGGAUGAGUCAUAUAACACAGACACACACGAUAAACAUAUAUUUGAUGACAUGCAUAGAGUGUAUAAUGAAAAUACAUACAAUGAUUUUUUGUAUAUUUCAGAGCAGAGUAUCAUGUAUCGAUCUAGGGUUUUAGAUUUACCAAACGCGGUUUGAAGAUGGCCCAGAGAGCGGAGAUGUAUCGAUCGAGUGGAAGAACUUUUGAUUUGGGGGUCCCAGAACGGCGGUCGACGCAGUGCUUCACGAUGGCUCUGAUACCAUGAAGAAAGCUGAGCGCGUAGGGUGGAGCGUGAGUCGGAGCGACGCUGGGAUCGGAGGCGACAGUGAGGAGUCGGUUGGGAGAGAAGACGGAGCGUUUGGAAACCCUAGGGUUUUGUUUUAGAUUUAAUUUGAAAAGUUGGAGAUAAAUUAUUACAACAUAGAAUUUAUACUAACUCUCUAAUGGGCCUUGAGUAUGGGCCAAUCUUAAACUACUAAAUUAAUCCAUUCUAAUUUGAAUUAGACACUUAAUCCUUGAAUACUUCAAUAUCAUCAGAUGUUAUCAAUGUGAAGUAUACGUUCAAUGUGAUGUAUUGUUCAUUUCUAUACCUAGUUGUGUGUUCAGUUAUAUAUCGAAUUGUAUAUACGUUCAUGUAUAUAUGUAGUUGCAUGUUCAGGUAUAUAAUUAAUUGCAUGUUCAUGUAUAUAACUAGUAGCAUGUUAAGGUAUAUAACUAGGGACAGGUUCAGGUAUAUAACUAGUUGCAUGUUAAGGUAUAUACUAGGUUCAGGUUCAAGUAUAUAACUAGUUGCCUUUUAAGGUAUAUAACUA
rnacentral:lncRNA from 1 species